CUGCUAUGGUGUAAACUAGCACGGUAUCUUUUCAUGAUACAAGUGUAUGAAUACUAGCAGU
rnacentral:tRNA from 1 species